UCCAUCCAUUUUUCUACAAUG
rnacentral:piRNA from 1 species